ACGGGUGAGUAAUACAUCAGAACGUGUCCUGGAGUGGGGGAUAGCCCGGCGAAAGCCGGAUUAAUACCGCAUACGCUCUAAGGAGGAAAGGGGGGGAUCUUAGGACCUCUCGCUCAAGGGGCGGCCGAUGGCAGAUUAGCUAGUUGGUGGGGUAAAGGCCUACCAAGGCGACGAUCUGUAGCUGGUCUGAGAGGACGACCAGCCACACUGGGACUGAGACACGGCCCAGACUCCUACGGGAGGCAGCAGUGGGGAAUUUUGGACAAUGGGCGCAAGCCUGAUCCAGCAAUGCCGCGUGUGUGAAGAAGGCCUUCGGGUUGUAAAGCACUUUUGUCCGGAAAGAAAACCCCUGCCCUAAUACGGCGGGGGGAUGACGGUACCGGAAGAAUAAGCACCGGCUAACUACGUGCCAGCAGCCGCGGUAAUACGUAGGGUGCGAGCGUUAAUCGGAAUUACUGGGCGUAAAGCGUGCGCAGGCGGUUCGUUAAGACAGAUGUGAAAUCCCCGGGCUUAACCUGGGAACUGCAUUUGUGACUGGCGGGCUAGAGUAUGGCAGAGGGGGGUAGAAUUCCACGUGUAGCAGUGAA
rnacentral:rRNA from 1 species